rnacentral:rRNA from 1 species
CCCUAUGGGGUGCAGCAGGCGAGAAAACUUUGCAAUGUGCGAAAGCACGACAAGGUUAAUCCGAGUGGUUUCUGCUAAAGGAACCUUUUGUCGGUCCUAGAAACACCGAUGAAUAAGGGGUGGGCAAGUUCUGGUGUCAGCCGCCGCGGUAAAACCAGCACCUCAAGUGGUCAGGAUGAUUAUUGGGCCUAAAGCAUCCGUAGCCGGCUCUGUAAGUUUUCGGUUAAAUCUGCACGCUCAACGUACAGGCUGCCGGGAAUACUGCAGAGCUAGGGAGUGGGAGAGGUAGACGGUACUCGGUAGGAAGGGGUAAAAUCCUUUGAUCUAUUGAUGACCACCUGUGGCGAAGGCGGUCUACCAGAACACGUCCGACGGUGAGGGAUGAAAGCUGGGGGAGCAAACCGGAUUAGAUACCCGGGUAGUCCCAGCUGUAAACUAUGCAAACUCAGUGAUGCAUUGGCUUGUGGCCAAUGCAGUGCUGCAGGGAAGCCGUUAAGUUUGCCGCCUGGGAAGUACGUACGCAAGUAUGAAACUUAAAGGAAUUGGCGGGGGAGCACCACAAGGGGUGAAGCCUGCGGUUCAAUUGGAGUCAACGCCAGAAAUCUUACCCGGAGAGACAGCAGAAUGAAGGUCAAGCUGAAGACUUUACCAGACAAGCUGAGAGGAAGUGCAUGGCC